UGGUGACUAGCUACUGAAUCUUUAAUGUGUCAUUAAAGAUAACGUAAAGGAAAAUAAUGAUAUUACUUUACUAUUAGUGUCGUCCAAAUACUCGUGCCAGAAGACUCGGUAAGGCGAGAGACGCAAACGUUAUUCGUCUUGAUCAGGCGUAAAGGGUGUGUAGGCUGCUUUAAGAAUUAAUAUAGCGUUUACUAAUAUAAUAACUACUUUUUUACUAUACUAAGUUAAUUUAAUAAGUCAAUUUAGCAACAGUAAUUGGUAGCGUUAUAUUAUAUAUGUUAAUCAGUUAAAGCUAGAAUCUAAAGGAGGUUAAAACAAUACUUAAGGUAGGAGUACUAACCGUAAAUAUUAAGUAGAGUGCUAACGGCGAAGGCAUUUAUCCAAUAAAGAUUGACGCUGAGAAACGAAAGUGAGGGCAGAAAAAAGGAUUAGAGACCCUUGUAUUCCUCACUGUCAACGAUGAAUGGUAGUUACUAGUUAGAAAUUAAUUAGAGGCGAUGUUAACACGAAAACCAUUCCGCCUUGUGAGUACAACUGCAAAGUUGAAAACAAAAAAAUUAGUCGGUUUCGGAGCAAACGAAGUGAAGCAUGUUAUUUAAUUGUA
rnacentral:rRNA from 1 species